GCAAACUUGGUCAUUUAGAGGAAGUAAAAGUCGUAACAAGGUUUCCGUAGGUGAGUAAAAAUUUGUCCCCUCCACAAAUCUUGCAGAAAUUAGGUACUAACUAAACCUUUCUAGGUGAACCUGCGGAAGGAUCAUUAUCGGGAAUGCCCCUUGGGGCUUAACCUGCAACCCUAUGCUGUUAUCGACCCUCUUAUCUUUCGGCGGGCUCGCCCGCCGGAAGAGAUCUCAUAAACUCUUGUGAACGUGUCAUGUUCUGAACAAAAUAUCAAUCAAUCAAAACUUUCAACAACGGAUCUCUUGGUUCUGGCAUCGAUGAAGAACGCAGC
rnacentral:misc_RNA from 1 species